rnacentral:rRNA from 1 species
UACGGGGGGAGCAAGCGUUGUUCGGAUUUACUGGGCGUAAAGGGCGCGUAGGCGGCCACCGCAAGUCGACUGUGAAAUCUCCGGGCUUAACCCGGAAAGGUCAGCCGAUACUGCGGGGCUAGAGUGCAGAAGGGGGCAACUGGGAAUUCUCGGUGUAGCGGUGAAAUGCGUAGAUAUCGAGAGGAACACCUGCGGCGAAGGCGGGUUGCUGGGCUGACACUGACGCUGAGGCGCGAAAGCUAGGGGAGCGAACGGG